AUUGACAGAUUGAGAGCUCUUUCUUGAUUCGGUGGGUGGUGGUGCAUGGCCGUUCUUAGUUGGUGGAGCGAUUUGUCUGGUUAAUUCCGAUAACGAACGAGACUCUAGCCUGCUAAAUAGGUGACGGGUUUUAUCAAUUGAAACCGAAGGGAGUACGGAGGCGUCGGGAUCAGGUGGCGGCGGUUCGGGUGGAAGGGGCCGGGUUCUUUAGCGGGCUCUUUUCGCGGCGUGGAUUCGGUUGGAAGCAAAGAGGAAGGGCGAGUUGGUGUUCGGGGUUUCGGCUCCGGGCGUUGGCUUUUCUUUUCUUGCGUUUCCUGCCGGGCUGCGUCGCGAGGGGGUUUUGCGGGGGCUCGGUCCUUUGUUUCUCGGUCGUCGUCAUCCCCGGCGAUACCUUCUGCUCUCGCGUCCGUCACGCAGUCUUCUUAGAGGGACAAGCGGCGUCCAGCCGCGUGACAGUGAGCAAUAACAGGUCUGUGAUGCCCUUAGAUGUCCUGGGCCGCACGCGCGCUACACUGAAGGAAUCAGCGUGUUUCACUCUCCCUGUCCGAAAGGACCGGGUAACCGCUGAACCUCCUUCGUGG
rnacentral:rRNA from 1 species